rnacentral:rRNA from 1 species
GACGAACGCUGGCGGCGUGCUUAACACAUGCAAGUCGAACGAAGAGCGAUGGAAGCUUGCUUCUCUCAAUCUUAGUGGCGAACGGGUGAGUAACGCGUAAUCAACCUGCCCUUCAGAGGGGGACAACAGUUGGAAACGACUGCUAAUACCGCAUACGAUCUAACCUCGGCAUCGAGGAUAGAUGAAAGGUGGCCUCUACAUGUAAGCUAUCACUGAAGGAGGGGAUUGCGUCUGAUUAGCUAGUUGGAGGGGUAACGGCCCACCAAGGCGAUGAUCAGUAGCCGGUCUGAGAGGAUGAACGGCCACAUUGGGACUGAGACACGGCCCAGACUCCUACGGGAGGCAGCAGUGGGGAAUCUUCCGCAAUAGACGAAAGUCUGACGGAGCAACGCCGCGUGAGUGAUGACGGCCUUCGGGUUGUAAAGCUCUGUUAAUCGGGACGAAAGGCCUUCUUGCGAAUAGUUAGAAGGAUUGACGGUACCGGAAGAGAAAGCCACGGCUAACUACGUG